AUGGCCGCGGCGCACCAGAUCCCCAAGGUCGCCCACACCCUCGUCGAGAUCGCCGAGGUCGCGCGCUACGCCUACGAGCACCGCUCCGGCCACGCCCCGGACCACGACGGCGCCACGGCGAUGGCCGCCGACGGGGAGGAGGCCGCGCGGCUGCGGGCGGAUAACGCCGUCCUCCGCGCCCGCCUCGCGGACGACCUCGCCCUCCUUCGCGAGCUUCAGGGCGCGCCCUUUGUUUCCCAGGAGUGCCCUCCCGACUUGCAUAAUCGUCUCGUAGCAUCAGUCAACAAUGCUGGCUUCCUUGCUCAUCUUGAGAAAGUACGAGAUGAGCCGCUGCAUCAACAUACCAAACUAUCUAUUGGCAGUGUGACAGAGGUGGACAUUGGAGAUAUUCCUUACACUAAAGAUGAGGGGAAGACUGGGUCAUGGCUCUUGGUUUCCUGUGACACUGCUGGGGGCAAUUUGGAGGAAAUUAGUGGAAUUGAUGACGAAAAUUAUGUGAUGGUUAAUGAAGAUGACAUCGUUGAUGCUAUUGCUACCUUUGUUGCUAGGUGCAUUCUUGAAGAUCCAAAGUCCAAGUCAUUAUCAUCGAAAGAGCUGCAAAAAGGUAUGACUAUCCUCCAUGCUUCUGCCCUUGAAGUUAAAAUUUGUAAUUUUCUAAAUGGUGUUUUGUUUCCGAAAUCAUUGCUUUCAAACAGUGAGACAAGCACAUGGGUUAAUUAA
rnacentral:rRNA from 1 species